rnacentral:rRNA from 1 species
GAGUUUGAUCAUGGCUCAGAGUGAACGCUGGCGGUAGGCCUAACACAUGCAAGUCGAACGGCAGCACAGUAAGAGCUUGCUCUUACGGGUGGCGAGUGGCGGACGGGUGAGGAAUACAUCGGAAUCUACUUUUUCGUGGGGAGUAACGUAGGGAAACUUACGCUAAUACCGCAUACGACCUACGGGUGAAAGCAGGGGAUCUUCGGACCUUGCGCGAUUGAAUGAGCCGAUGUCGGAUUAGCUAGUUGGCGGGGUAAAGGCCCACCAAGGCGACGAUCCGUAGCUGGUCUGAGAGGAUGAUCAGCCACACUGGAACUGAGACACGGUCCAGACUCCUACGGGAGGCAGCAGUGGGGAAUAUUGGACAAUGGGCGCAAGCCUGAUCCAGCCAUACCGCGUGGGUGAAGAAGGCCU